AAUCAACGCUGGCGGCGUGCCUAACACAUGCAAGUCGAACGAGAAAGUGGAGCAAUCCAUGAGUACAGUGGCGACCGGGUGAGUAACACGUGACUAACCUACCUUUGAGUGGGGGAUAACAUCGGGAAACCGAUGCUAAUACCGCAUAACAUCGCAAGAUCAAAGCAGCAAUGCGCUUAAAGAGGGGGUCGCGGCUGAUUAGCUAGUUGGCGGGGUAA
rnacentral:rRNA from 1 species